rnacentral:rRNA from 1 species
AUUGAACACUGGCGGCGUGCUUAACACAUGCAAGUCGAUCGGUAACGCGGGGGCAACCCUGGCGACGAGAGGCGGACGGGUGAGGAACGCUUGGGAAUCUGCCUAUCAGCGGGGGACAACACGGGGAAACUCGUGCUAACACCGCAUACGCUCUACGGAGGAAAGCCGGGGACCGCAAGGCCUGGCACUGAUAGAUGAGCCCAAGCCGGAUUAGCUAGUUGGCGGGGUAACGGCCCACCAAGGCGACGAUCCGUAGCUGGUCUGAGAGGACGAUCAGCCACACUGGGACUGAGACACGGCCCAGACUCCUACGGGAGGCAGCAGUGGGGAAUAUUGGACAAUGGGGGAAACCCUGAUCCAGCGACGCCGCGUGGGUGAAGAAGGCCUGCGGGUUGUAAAGCCCUUUCGGUAGGGACGAAAGCUCUCGACCUAACACGUCGGGAGGUUGACUUAACCUACAAAAGAAGCACCGGCUAACUCUGUGCCAGCCGCCGCGGUAACAC